AUUGAACGCUGGCGGCAUGCUUUACACAUGCAAGUCGAACGGUAACAGGCCGCAAGGUGCUGACGAGUGGCGAACAGGUGAGUAAUGCAUCGGAACGUGCCCAGUCGUGGGGGAUAACGCAGCGAAAGCUGUGCUAAUACCGCGUACGAUCUAUGGAUGAAAGCGGGGGACCGUAAGGCCUCGAGCGAUGGGAGCGGCCGAUGUCAGAUUAGGUAGUUGGUGGGGUAAAGGCUCACCAAGCCAACGAUCUGUAGCUGGUCUGAGAGGACGACCAGCCACACUGGGACUGAGACACGGCCCAGACUCCUACGGGAGGCAGCAGUGGGGAAUUUUGGACAAUGGGCGCAAGCCUGAUCCAGCAAUGCCGCGUGCAGGAAGAAGGCCUUCGGGUUGUAAACUGCUUUUGUACGGAACGAAAAGGUUUGGGUUAAUACCCUGGGCCGAUGACGGUACCGUAAGAAUAAGCACCGGCUAACUACGUGCCAGCCGCCGCUGUAA
rnacentral:rRNA from 1 species